GUGCCUGCUUUGGCAGCACAUAUAUUAAAGUUGGAAUGAUAUAGACAAGACUAGCAUGGCCCCUGAACUGGGAAGACACACAAAUUCAUGAAGUAAUCAACAUGUUA